rnacentral:rRNA from 1 species
UACGUAGGGAGCAAGCGUUGUCCGGAUUCACUGGGUGUAAAGGGUGCGCAGGCGGAUCGGUAAGUCAGAGGUGAAAUCUCACAGCUCAACUGUGAAACUGCCUUUGAUACUGCUGAUCUUGAGUUAGGGAGAGGUUGAUGGAAUUCCAGGUGUAGCGGUGAAAUUCGUAGAUAUUAGGAAGAACACCAGUGGCGAAGGCGGCUCACUGGCCCGGUACUGACGCUGAGGCGCGAAAGCGUGGGAGCAAACAGG